AUUUCGUGCUAAUCAUUUUAAUGCAGCAAGUUUAAUUUUUCGAAUAUUCUUGCGCCCUAUUUUUAUUUAUUUUAAUUCUAAUUAAUUUUAUAAAUAAUCAUUUUGAUUUUAUUUAAUUCUAUCAAGAAUAUUAGAAUUUCUUAUUUCAUUUUAUUUCAAACUCUUUUUAAUUACUAAACUAUUUAAAGGGGCAUUUUGGACUUAAUUGAUGAAUUUGCAACCCUACUUGUUCACCAUAAAUACUAACUCAUGCUAUUGGCCAAAGGAGAGCAAAAACAUAGACAAAAAACUGAUAGAACAACCUCCCCCUCCUUGUAUGUAUAUCUCUCUCAAAUCUGAAGAAAAAGAAAAAAAGAAAAAAACUCAUUUUUACACUCAGC
rnacentral:lncRNA from 1 species